rnacentral:tRNA from 1 species
GUAGAGAUAACUCAGUGGUUAAGAGCACUGGCUGCUCUUCCAGAGGACCUGGGUUCAAUUUCCAGCAUCCACA